CUGCAGUCAGUUAAGCCAGUCAAGUUCCUUUGUCACCAGGUCUGGGGGGCAGUGGACACUAACAGCAGCCUCCUUGGGAAUGUACACAGCCUCUUUCCCUCAUGGAUGGCUCUAAGAGGCCUUGAAGACAUUU
rnacentral:snoRNA from 1 species